rnacentral:sRNA from 1 species
UCCCCUACCUCAUAUCAAUCAUUGUAAGUGUCAUUAUAGUUUCUUACAUAUAUUAACAUAACAAUUAAAAAGAAAGGGUUGCCUUCCAUGCCAAGCCAGCACAUGGACCGAAUUGUUACUCGCUACAGUGAGGUGACUGGUGAGAUGGGAACAAGUUGCCAUGAUGUAUGCAGGUAAGUGAGGGAUGAACGCCUGUCUGUGUUGCUGCAUGCCUGCAUGUGCUAUUUGUUUGUUUCCAAGGUGGUGUGAUCUGCCCCCGAGGAAUGUCUAGGAGAAGGGUUUUCUGCUGUGAUUGCUGAAGGCAAAUAAUAAUCAAGAGUCGAGGAACAAAAUUUGUUUCAAAUAAAGUGGAAAGAAAUUCAUAUUUGAAACUCCUUCGUUUUUUAAACAGUUCAACAUUUGAUGUAGAUUUUAAAAAUGUAAAUUCUAUUUAAUAGGCUGUUCUUUUUUUUAUAUAAUAUGUGAAAUCUAUAAAAAUUAAAUAACUAUUU